GAGACACCCUUAUGGCACAGGACUCCUUCAGUGGGGCUUUGGUGCUCACUGAGUCUGCCCCUUGAGUGUGUCACU
rnacentral:pre_miRNA from 1 species